GACCUAUUCUCAAACUUUAAAUGUGCAAAAAAACUGUCUUUUGCCUUGUGCAGGAAGGACAGAAAGAAAAGAAUUUAGGCACCAAGUGGGCCUUCUUCGGUAAGCGGAGCAGGCGAUGCGGAAUGAACCGCUUAAGGAUAUGUGGCGUCAAAACUUUUGGGCUCAUUCUCGAUACGUGAAAAGGGUGUUGGUGGAUUAAGACAGUUUGACGGUGGUCAUGGAAGUCGACAUCCGCUAAGGAGUGUGUAACAACUC
rnacentral:rRNA from 14 species